GGUUCAUAUCUGGAUCAAGAAUGAUGGCAGAUGAUGUGAUGCAUCUGUGUAUCACCUGUUCAUCCCAUUCCUCAUGUAGAUAGCGAAUCGCAGAGGCAAGUGAUUUGACAAUGUUAUACCGAUGACGCCAUCUAAGAGUACUGGAGGCAUUGUCCCUAUGAUGAUUCUGAUGGAAAAGGAGGUGACUUAAAAGGCUACUCUGAGAGUAAUCAUAAAUGACAAGCAUUUCACCUUGCUCGGUGCACCAUCCGCGGAGUUGCACCAGGUUUCUGUGGCGUAAUCGUCCUAAGUUCUGAAGUUCAUUCGAGAACCUCACUCUUAAAGCUGGACAAGUUUUCAUUCCUAGCCUUUUCACUAAGACAUGCUGGUUGUUUUCAAGAAAACCAUGGUAAGCAGUACCAAAGUCAAUCUCAGCAACUCUUCUUGAAUCCGAAAAAUUGUUCGUGGCAGCAAUGAUCUCUUUGAAUGUGAUCUCCCUAGCAGUUUCAACCAUCAGGAAAUUACUCGAUUGACGCCUACUGCUGCAAUUUCCAGACUCAUUAUUGCUGCUGGUGCUUCCACUUUCAGCACUUAGAUACAUGGUAUCUCCUGUGGCUGUGAUGAACAUUGUUGAGUUGAAACCAGGCGUCGUGCUCGUGCUGGUUGUGGCAGUGGACCUAGAGGUGAUUGUGUUGCUAGUUGUACUAUUGCUUGGUGAUGACAAAGAUAUAUAAAGAGGAUGGGACUUAAAACAAGGAAGAUCAGGUAAUUUACCAUAAAUAUGACCAGAU
rnacentral:misc_RNA from 1 species